rnacentral:rRNA from 1 species
UAGAGUUUGAUCCUGGCUCAGAUUGAACGCUGGCGGCAGGCUUAACACAUGCAAGUCGAACGGUAACAUAAAGAAGCUUGCUUCUUUGAUGACGAGUGGCGGACGGGUGAGUAAUGCUUGGGAAUCUAGCUUAUGGAGGGGGAUAACUACGGGAAACUGUAGCUAAUACCGCGUAGUAUCGGAAGAUGAAAGUGUGGGACCUUCGGGCCACAUGCCAUAGGAUGAGCCCAAGUGGGAUUAGGUAGUUGGUGAGGUAACGGCUCACCUAGGCGACGAUACAUAGCCGACCUGAGAGGGUGAUCGGCCACACUGGGACUGAGACACGGCCCAGACUCCUACGGGAGGCAGCAGUAGGGAAUCUUCGGCAAUGGGGGGAACCCUGACCGAGCAACGCCGCGUGAGUGAAGAAGGUUUUCGGAUCGUAAAGCUCUGUUGUUAAGGAAGAACGAGUGUGAGAAUGGAAAGUUCAUACUGUGACGGUACUUAACCAGAAAGGGACGGCUAACUACGUGCCAGCAGCCGCGGUAAUACGUAGGUCCCGAGCGUUGUCCGGAUUUAUUGGGCGUAAAGCGAGCGCAGGCGGUUAGAUAAGUCUGAAGUUAAAGGCAGUGGCUCAACCAUUGUAGGCUUUGGAAACUGUUUAACUUGAGUGCAGAAGGGGAGAGUGGAAUUCCAUGUGUAGCGGUGAAAUGCGUAGAUAUAUGGAGGAACACCGGUGGCGAAAGCGGCUCUCUGGUCUGUAACUGACGCUGAGGCUCGAAAGCGUGGGGAGCGAACAGGAUUAGAUACCCUGGUAGUCCACGCCGU